UUCUCUUUCUAUUUCUCUACAAUACAAUGUGAGAAUGUUAAUUGCUAUAGCGGUUUUAUUAUGAAAUGAAAGUUCUGUGGAUGAUAAUGCUUUUGUGUAGCGCCCUGCUCCACACCCGUGGGCAGCUGUUUAAGAUGUGUUUCCUUUGCGCCCCAUACACACCCUUCCACGUGUACUUUCACAGAUGGCACCAGUGCAUGUGCAGAUGCAUCGCCCACGUCAAAGACUGCACCCUGCUCUCAAGGAAACACUCGAUGCACGAAGUUAGGCAGUUCUUCUGGAAUGUUGAAUAAGUGAAACUCAAUUGUAUAGACUCUUCAUCGUGCUCACAACUUCAAACUCCUCAAAGAUUUACUGCUUGCUACAUGGUUAUAUAUCUCAAGGCUCUGCUGCUUGCUACAUGGUUAUAAAUCUCAAGGCUCUGCUGCUUGCUACAUGGUUAUAUAUCUCAAGGCUCUGCUGCUUGCUACAUGGUUAUAUAUCUCAAGGCUCUGCUGCUUGCUACAUGGUUAUAUAUCUCAAAGAUCUACUGCUUGCUACAUGGUUAUAUAUCUCAAAGAUCUGCUGCUUGCUACAUGGUUAUAUAUCUCAAAGAUCUGCUGCUUGCUACAUGGUUAUAUAUCUCAAAGAUCUGCUACUUGCUACAUGGUUAUAUAUCACAAGGCUCUAUUUUGUGUCUGCUCAAAUUCUUUUUUUUCUCUUGCGUUGAGGGUACUUAAACAGAGGACACAUAUUUUGAUAUUGGUCUAGCCAAGGUUAAGUAACAUUUUAGUUGUAUGUUCUUGUUUGAUUGUCAAUAAUUAAAUUUAGUUAACCCUAAUGCUUUGUGUGAUUUUGAUAAUAGUUUUGCCAAUGUGGUAUUUGAGGAUAACUUAGUAUAUAUGAAAGAAAUGAAAAUAAAUAAAGCAAGACAUGUUA